rnacentral:rRNA from 1 species
GGCUCAGCGAUCGGGUCUUCCUUAACUGGUUGCACUCGAGCCGCUUUGCCUUAUCUUCUAGACACACGUCUCAGCAGACGUGCGGCUCUAGGACUUUUACUGUGAAUAAAUUAGAGUGUUUAAAGCAGGCGUUUGCUUGAAUACAUUAGCAUGGAAUAAUGGAAUAGGGCUGCUGCCCCAUUUUGUUGGUUUCUGGGACCGUAGCA